rnacentral:piRNA from 1 species
UCUGAUGUCACUUAUUCCAACAAGGGGGA